AACGAACGCUGGCGGCAGGCCUAACACAUGCAAGUCGAGCGCCCCGCAAGGGGAGCGGCGGACGGGUGAGUAACGCGUGGGAACGUACCUUUUGCUUCGGAAUAGCCUCGGGAAACUGGGAGUAAUACCGAAUGUGCCCUACGGGGGAAAGAGUUAUCGGCAAAAGAUCGGCCCGCGUUGGAUUAGGUAGUUGGUGGGGUAAUGGCAUACCAAGCCGACGAUCCAUAGCUGGUUUGAGAGGAUGAUCAGCCACAUUGGGACUGAGACACGGCCCAGACUCCUACGGGAGGCAGCAGUGGGGAAUCUUUGACAAUGGGCGCAAGCCUGAUCUAGCCAUGCCGCGUGAGCGAUGAAGGCCUUAGGGUUGUAAAGCUCUUUCGUGGGGGAAGAUAAUGACUGUACCCCAAGAAGAAGCCCCGGCUAACUCCGUGCCAGCCGCCGCGGUAACAC
rnacentral:rRNA from 1 species